GGCGGGGUAACGGCCCACCAAGGCAACGAUCAGUAGGGGUUCUGAGAGGAAGGUCCCCCACAUUGGAACUGAGACACGGUCCAAACUCCUACGGGAGGCAGCAGUGAGGAAUAAUGGUCAUUGGACGAGAGUCUGAACCAGCCAAGUAGCGUGCAGGAAGACGGCCCUAUGGGUUGUAAACUGCUUUUAUAAGGGAAUAAAGUGAGUCUCGUGAGACUUUUUGCAUGUACCUUAUGAAUAAGGACCGGCUAAUUCCGUGCCAGCAGCCGCGGUAAUACGGAAGGUCCGGGCGUUAUCCGGAUUUAUUGGGUUUAAAGGGAGCGUAGGCCGGAGAUUAAGCGUGUUGUGAAAUGUAGAUGCUCAACAUCUGCACUGCAGCGCGAACUGGUUUCCUUGAGUACGCACAAAGUGGGCGGAAUUCGUGGUGUAGCGGUGAAAUGCUUAGAUAUCACGAAGAACUCCGAUUGCGAAGGCAGCUCACUGGAGCGCAACUGACGCUGAAGCUCGAAAGUGCGGGUAUCGAACAGGAUUAGAUACCCUGGUAGUCCGCACGGUAAACGAUGGAUGCCCGCUGUUGGUCUGAAUAGGUCAGCGGCCAAGCGAAAGCAUUAAGCAUCCCACCUGGGGAGUACGCCGGCAA
rnacentral:rRNA from 1 species